GAGACUUCAACUUAGGGAUCGUUUGCAUGACAACUUUUAGGCUCGAGUCGUAGUCUCCCUAUUAGUCUGUUAUCUCCCUAGUCUCUGGUUAGGAGGAAGUUUCUCCCUUGUUAAGGGGAACUACGUUGCCCUGAUUCUCAUACCAGAUGAGAUACGUAGGCAGGAGAUUGAGCGAGAUCUCUCCGGGCGCCCUUUUUCUUUUUUCACCCU
rnacentral:lncRNA from 1 species